rnacentral:rRNA from 1 species
UAAAACGUAGGGGACAAGCGUUAUCCGGAUUUACUGGGCGUAAAGCGCCCGUAGGCGGCUUGAUAAGUUGGACGUGAAAGCUCCCGGCUUAACUGGGAGAGGCCGUUCAAAACUGACAGGCUAGAGUGAGGAAGAGGAGAGCGGAAUUCCCGGUGUAGUGGUGGAAUGCGUAGAUAUCGGGAGGAACACCAGUGGCGAAAGCGGCUCUCUGGUCCUAAACUGACGCUGAGGGGCGAAAGCGUGGGGAGCGAACGGGAUUAGAUACCCCGGUAGUCCACGCCGUAAACGAUGGAGACUAGGUGUAGGUGGAUAGAACCCCAUCUGUGCCGAAGCCAACGCGUUAAGUCUCCCGCCUGGGGAGUACGGCCGCAAGGUUA